rnacentral:misc_RNA from 1 species
AGUCAUUCGUCUGUUACUAUCGAACACUGACCUACUUGAACUAAUGGCUAAACUUGAUGCACAUGAGAAAAAAUUCCGCAGUCGCUAGCUUUUUGUGAAGUUGUUUAAAUAUACGCCUGGAUUUCACGACGUGCGUUACAUUGAUUCGUGACUUUCUCUUUAAAAAGUAACUUGAAAUUACUGAAAAUGGAUAUGAACAUGAGAAGCCUUGGUAUAUUAGUUCUCCUUUCUACAGUUUCAGGAAUUGCAUAUGGUAUGAUAAGAGAAGUAGAAGAAAAUCAUGAAGUAAUUCUUCAAUGCGAUUUUAACGUAGAAUACCCAUUAUGGACAGGCCCGGAUGGAUUAGUUAGCCCACUUACAACCGGACAGACAAUACAAGAACCAGGAAUUGAAUGGUUUAAUAAAAAGGGUCUGAAAAUUACUAAAGUAAUGUUAAAACACGAUGGGAAUUACACGUGUUCUGACGGCAAUGGCAACAGUAAAAUGGUGGAACUAGAUGUUCAAUACUUUAAAGGCAUGGCGGAGUAUACAACUGCUACACCUGAAAACGCAAUGACUACUUUUACCUGUUGGUGCCACAGUAACCCAGAAUGUACAAUGCUUCCGAUAGUGGGCAGUUCACUUGGUCUAAAGACAGUGACGACAUUUUAUCCAUGUGCUCCUGACCCGAUGACUGAAAACAGAACAAAAUGUUACGUUACCUCACAAAUACCCGUUGCCAAGGAAGACAACGGGGUCAAGGAAAAUAAAUGCAUAUUCAAAUAUAAGAGCUCAACAAAACUCACGCUGUCGCCGGAGGUGAAGGUUCUUUUUCCUCCAACAAAUGUCAAUAUCAAUGCUGAGAAAAGAGAAUCCCUGUUAAAACUUACCUGCUCGACCGAUUCGUCAAACCCAGUCUCUUUACUGAAAUGGUAUAGAGGAACAAAUGGGACAGCCACGUCAAACGAGGAGAUAUCUAGUAGUUAUCACAGUUAUGUCAUGGACGCAAAGUACAAUGGUCAAAACAUUACAUCAAUCCAUCAAUAUAAGAAGAGACAAUAUAAAAAAUGGAGAGAAUGUCUUCUGCUGCGCCAAACAUAGGGAUCAACAAAUCUGUGAAUCUUUGGACAUUUACAAGACGACUUCUGCUGUUUCUCGUGUUACAUCGUGGGUGGCACUGGUGGUUAUUGGAGUUGCAUUACUCACAAUUUGACACACAACAGAAUGAAUUCGGUCGAAGAGAAAUAUACGUCUCCUUGCGGUAAACCAGAAUACAGCACGGCAUUUUGCUUCAUAUACGUGAUAUUCAAAAGACAACAACAGUUUAAAGCCAAAGGAACCCAAUCUAACAAAUUGUGUCAGUCGUUGGACAUUCAAAAUCAUGAUCUGAUAUAUCGUUUGGAAAUUCUCCCCUUUGCUGAUGAAAUACCAUCUAUCAUUUAAUGGAUAUUUAACUAGAACAGAACGGAACAGAACAGAACAGAACGGACCAGAACAGAACUCUCAGUCAGCAUUUACAUCUCUGUAAACGGCAUCGAUAUUGCCAUUUAAUUUAUCAUAUAUUUAUCGAUUUAUAACUGGUAUUCUGCGGACUCCGUAAUUGAUACAUUGACAUUUUCUUGACAAAAUAUUGAUAAAUCAGUUGAUUGAUCGAUAUCGAAGUUGGAUUUUGCUGUUAUCCGAAUUCAGAAAGCAGCAUAAUACAAUAAGUACAAUGAAUAUCAAGAUUUAUAAAAAAUGUUUCACCUAGAGUUAUUUUGACAUAGGAAAUUCUACACGUCUGACAAACCGGAAGUAAAGGCAUGACGUCAUUUAACCGGAAAUAUAACACAAAACCUGGACUCGGCAUAUGGAUUCUCCUUUUCGUUUGCCUAAUUUUCUUAAAAUAUCUAUGGGUUUGAAAACUUAAGAUUUUCUCAAUUCGAGCAAACAA